UUCUGACCUGCAGGCAUACAUGC
rnacentral:piRNA from 1 species